rnacentral:rRNA from 1 species
AUUGAACGCUGGCGGCAGGCCUAACACAUGCAAGUCGAGCGGAUGAAGGGAGCUUGCUCCUGGAUUCAGCGGCGGGCGGGUGAGUAAUGCCUAGGAAUCUGCCUGGUAGUGGGGGAUAACGUCCGGAAACGGGCGCUAAUACCGCAUACGUCCUGAGGGAGAAAGUGGGGGAUCUUCGGACCUCACGCUAUCAGAUGAGCCUAGGUCGGAUUAGCUAGUUGGUGGGGUAAAGGCCUACCAAGGCGACGAUCCGUAACUGGUCUGAGAGGAUGAUCAGUCACACUGGAACUGAGACACGGUCCAGACUCCUACGGGAGGCAGCAGUGGGGAAUAUUGGACAAUGGGCGAAAGCCUGAUCCAGCCAUGCCGCGUGUGUGAAGAAGGUCUUCGGAUUGUAAAGCACUUUAAGUUGGGAGGAAGGGCAGCAAGUUAAUACCUUGCUGUUUUGACGUUACCAACAGAAUAAGCACCGGCUAACUUCGUG